rnacentral:rRNA from 1 species
UAGGGAAUCUUCGGCAAUGGACGAAAGUCUGACCGAGCAACGCCGCGUGAGUGAAGAAGGUUUUCGGAUCGUAAAACUCUGUUGUUAGAGAAGAACAAGGACGUUAGUAACUGAACGUCCCCUGACGGUAUCUAACCAGAAAGCCACGGCUAACUACGUGCCAGCAGCCGCGGUAAUACGUAGGUGGCAAGCGUUGUCCGGGUUUAUUGGGCGUAAAGCGAGCGCAGGCGGUUUCUUAAGUCUGAUGUGAAAGCCCCCGGCUCAACCGGGGAGGGUCAUUAGAAACUGGGAGACUUGAGUGCAGAAGAGGAGAGUGGAAUUCCAUGUGUAGCGGUGAAAUGCGUAGAUAUAUGGAGGAACACCAGUGGCGAAGGCGGCUCUCUGGUCUGUAACUGACGCUGGGGCUCGAAAGCGUGGGGAGCAAACAGG